AUGGAAGGACUGGAAAGAAUCAACAGAGAAACUGAGUCAGUCAAGACUGAAGUUGAAGAAGAGCAGAAGAGGCUGCCUCAGUUUACUUCAGCACUUGAAGAGCUAUUGCGAAGCCCUGUGGCCUCCAUUCGUGGCACAAGUGUGAGAGAAGAUUUUCCCGAAGGUAGCCUGCUCCAGAAGGACAAGCGGGAGGAGCCACCCAAGAACAGAGAGGGUCAGCCUGGAAAGCAUGCGGGGGACCACGCGUGUCCGGCAGCCGAUCUUGAAUGUGAUCCUUUGUUCAAUUAUUCUGCAGGGCCAAUGGGGACAUCUGAAGCAAAGCAGGGUGACACUGAUACCCAGCAUUUCUGCCACCUGAAAAAAUCUGUGGGUGAAAAUUGCCACAAGUCCCAGGAGAGCCAGAGACCUUGUGUCUCACCAAUAAGAAUUAAAAUAAAUCUUCAAGAUUCUGAUGAAGAUGACCUUGUGAUAGAUGUAUCUCCGGUCAUGCCUACUUCUAAAAAAUCUAGACCAUUUAGAGGCUUCAAAUACCAGACUAUAGAUGAAAGGGUACAUAUAAUGCCCCUGGAGGAGAGAAACCUUCAAAUUAGUGGCACAGAAGAGGAAAGAGUAGAUAAAACCCAACUAGCUGUGCAAAUAGCUGAUGAUGGUAGCAGACUAGAACCACCCAAAUCGCUCACGAACACCUCACUAGAUGUUAAAAGUAACAUAAACAUGUAUGGUGUUAAAAACCACAUUUCUAGGAUGGGAAGCUUUGGUGGUGAGAAAAAGCAUGUCUGUAUUUCAGAAGAAAGUAUAUGUUGUGCACUUCUCAGGGACAAAGAAACACAGAACACAAGUCAUAAUGCAAGUUGUCCAAAGAGGAAAAACCAUGUAAAAACAAUUUAUGAUACUCAAAAAGAAACCGAAUGUCAGUAUUCAGCAAGCCAGCCGCAAAGUGCUUACUCAGAUGAGCACGCAAAAGGCAGUGUGCUGAGCGUGCGAGGCGGUAGUCAAGACUUCACUACUUUUGAAGACAGCAAAUUAGUGGAAUUUGAUUUUGAUAAGGAGCGUCCUGAAGCUGACACUCCCUCUGAUUCUGGUGACACUGUGAAGGAAUGUCUUCGAAUUUUCAAUGAGUUCACCGAAAGUCAAGCUCAGAGGGGAGAGGCUGCUAAGCAGGCUGGCCAGUUUUCUUUACCCUUCUUUUACUAA
rnacentral:lncRNA from 1 species